rnacentral:lncRNA from 1 species
GAAGGCACAUCUAAUAUUUUCAAUUACAAUACUUGAGGUUGUGGCAAAUUAACUUUCAUCACGACAGGACUAUGAAUGGCGCAAGGGGAGAGAGAGGGGUUAGUGGCGGAGGUCAUUGGAAAGCACCUGGGUUGGAAUGCUUGCUGAUACAUUUAUUUUUCAUUUAUUUAUGUUAUAUUUCAAAGAUAUUAGAUACACAUAAAUUAUAAUACUAUAAGGAGUCGUUUGAUACGAUAGAUUGGACUAAAUUCUGGGACUAUUUUGGAUUAGUUCGAAUUGACCUAAGUUGUAUUAAGUACUGAGCUACGUUUGUUGUUGCGUUAAACUAAAGAGCCGGAUUGUAAAAAUAAUAAAGACCAAUAUUUCGUGCUAUAUCAUACUAAAAAAAUAAUUAUUUUAUUAAUCUGUCUCUCUUUUUCUGUUUUCCAUUUUUUUUUUGGUAGCGUUUUCUUUCUUUCUCCCUUUUAUUUAUUCUUCUCACUCUCUCAAUUUUCUUUUUGUUCUCGUUUUUUUUUUUUUUCUUCCUCUUUCAUUCAAAAAUAAUUUUUUUUCUUCUGUCUCGAAAGCUCCUACCUACCUUUCUUUUUCCACUCUGACAAAAAAAACUCUAUUUUUCCAUUCAAAAACACUUUUUUUUCAUUUAUCUCUCGAACAACCCUAUUUCCCUGGUUCAUAAAAAAUAAGGAAGCUUGCUUCCCUAGCCUCCCUAGUUUUGAUUUAGGGUCUUUCAACUAGCCUUUGGGCUAGCUGGAUCUGCUUCCCCAUCCCUUUCAACUGUUGGAGGCCUUUAUUGGCAGAGACUUGCUAGAUGACAGAGCCAACUCAUUGAUUUGAUCUCUCUCUGUUUCUUGAACGCCACCAGGAAAGCUCUUCUUCCUUCCCUUUCAAUUUGGCCAAUGGUUUUAUCAUAUUAUUGGAUAUUGAACUUUUUGGUUUUGUUGGUUUCCUAAGUUCAUGUCUAUAUAUCAAUCUGCCUUUUGACUAGCCCAAACUUGGAGCGGCAACUAGAGUUAAUUGAGAGACUCAUCAGCAAAUUUCGAUUGGGUCUGUGGUGGUGGGGUUUUUAUUCAAGCCAAGGGUCGGAUAGCGCGCUCGCCAUUUUACGAACCACAUUUUGGCCUCGCUGUAUUAGACAAGCAAGUCCGGGGGUUUUUCCCUUACAAUCCAGUCAAAAUUGCUGACGUAGACUGAUUAAAAUUGCCAAAUGCAGAGGCUCAUGAUGCCUAUGGGACUAGGACAAGCAGCUUACACUAGACAUGAUAUCAUCCAAAACAAGGAAGGAAAAUGGACGACACGUCGUAUAAGGUCAAACCCAUAAUCUUAUUAUCUUUUUUUCUUCUUCUCAUUAAUUGUUAAAGGCAGGCUAUGGAACAGAAAUAUCAUUGCAGGACCUUUUGCCUUCCUUGAGGACUACUACAUAUCACACAGGUUACAGCAUGAGCCACUCCCUUUUCCCUUUUACUAGUAGAAAAAGAAAGAAGAUGAAGGACAAUAGGCAGAACGACAGCCCCAAAAUGCUUUGGUUUAUACUGACUGCACU